UGUUCAGUAUUUGAUACAUCCCUCGAUGCACCAUCGGUCGCGCAUGCGGCACGUCGAUCGUCGUGGUGUCAUCAGAUAACAAUUGUUUUGACCAUGGAGCUAUUGUUGGCAGUGGUUUUACACACAGACUCAUAAAAUUGUGAUUUGCAUUUACAGGAUAACUAGUUUAGUACUAGAAACCUUCGAAAGAAUGUCAAUUGCGUCCUGAAUUCAUGACGUGUAUCCUCGAGAUCGACGCAGCUAAUAACGAGGCCACAUGGCAUGGCGAACCCAAAUCAAAUGCGGAUGCGUAUAAUUUGAUCGCGUCGUUUUAGGGGGUCUGACGAUGUCAUCAGAUAAGACUUUGAAUGAUGUUAUUUGACCCCUGAAAAUUGGGAAUCAGCCAAAGCAGUCCUGUAUGGCGGUCGUGUGGAAAGGAUGCAACCGUGUGGGAUGGCCGUCACUACAAGCAGUCACUUCUUGAGACACCAAAUCCUGUCACACAAGGCCAAUGGAUGGUUGGUGCAUUUUCACUGAGUUUGAAUGUGGUAGGAUUCUUAGGAAUCUAGUGCCAGAGAUGAAGCGGAAGCCACAACGAAGCCGGGGUUUCAUAAACAUCACAAAGAGUUGGGUGUGAAGGGCAUCACCUCAAACUCCCUUGACAACAAGAUGAGACAACUCAAGGAACAUGGCCUGGUUCUUGGCAGGAUUCAUCCUGGGUUCUAUGACAUCAGGAAGAGAUUGAAGGAAGAUCUUGAGAGAAUGUUGGCUGAGAGACGAUGAGGAGUCAAGAAGAUGACGGCCGGUAAACGUCUCAAGUCAAACACCUGUCAGCCGGUUUGGUGAGCAACAUGAGCCAAUGUCUGGCAUGCAUCAUAACAUGGCCAUGGGAGAUGGGGGAGGGGUGACAGCUCAUGGAAUGGCAGGAGCGGUCUGGAACCCUGUAGCCACCAUGCAGCUUCAUGGCACCAAUCCAAAGGUGUGGGGAGCAUCACAGAGCCAGUCAGUCAUGUGACAUGACACCUCUCCGUCCAUUCCUAUAGAGGGCGCUGUUCGUCACAGCCCCAGCAUCCACAAGAGAUAGUUAAGUUAAUUAAUUUUUCUUCAAUGGCCAGUAGCCAUAGAGGGCGCCAUAAUGCUAUCUGGUUUGUUCACAGACAUAUAAACACAUAGACCGCCAGUCGUGCGUGUGAAACCGUGAUUUAAUAAUUGGGCAAAAUGUUUGUUGACAGCGCGCAUAACUGCCACUCAAUGCGCCAAC